UACGGGGGGGGCAAGCGUUGUUCGGAAUUACUGGGCGUAAAGGGCUCGUAGGUGGCCAACUAAGUCAGACGUGAAAUCCCGUCGGCUUAACCGGGGAACUGCGUCUGAUACUGGAUGGCUUGAGGACUGGAGAGGAGACGUGGAAUUUACGGUGUAGCGGUGAAAUGCGUAGAUAUCGUAAGGAAGACCAGUGGCGAAGGCGGGUCUCUGGACAGUUCCUGACGCUGAGGCACGAAGGUCAGGGGAGCAAACGGG
rnacentral:rRNA from 1 species